GUUGCUCAGUAGCAUGCAUAUACUAAACUCAUAAUGGCAAAGAGAAGAUUAGCAUGGACCCUGUGAAAUACUAACAUGUAAAUUCAUGAAGCAUUCCAUAUUUUU
ensembl:snRNA U6 U6 spliceosomal RNA